rnacentral:lncRNA from 1 species
CUGGAGAAGAAAUAUUGAACAAACAACAAAGAAAAAAGAAGAAGCUUACUCUCUAAGCUCAUCAGCAGUGAGCUCAUCGUUUCUGAAAACUUCGAAUUCAACCUAGCUCUGCCAUAUACUGUGGAACACCAAAUGAGUAGCAAAAAAUAAAAUCGAAGCAUUAUUAUAUCUUAUGUAAUGUAAUUACUAAUUAAGAAUAAUGAAUCUAUAAAAUAACGAAAGAAAUUGAUAAGAAAAUACUUCCCUGGCCAUUUAAUAAUAGAAACUCAUAUCUAUUGCUAUCCACAAAUACCCACUAUAGAAUAUUAGAGGAAAGCUAGUGAAAUAUCUUACCCUAAUCCGUAGACGGUCAGCAACCUCAGAUUAUUCAUCAUAUACCUCAUCAAUUACCUGCAACAGUUCACAGAAGAAACAAGAAGUUCACAAACAUUAAAUAUCUUCGUGAUAAUCGGAAAAUCAAAACUACUGCAAGGUUCAAGAACAAGAAUUUCAUUCAAGGAAAUAUAGCAUAACAUAGUUACAAGCAUUCGAAAUUUGCAAGCUAAACUAUCAAUUGAUUAUAUAAGGUUCACAAAAAUCUACAUUACCUUCUCCUCUAUGGAAGAUCAGUUUGUAUUUUGUAAGCUUUAAGGCAACCAUUGGUAACCUACAUUUCAUCGAAUAGUUGGUGUACUAAUCAGUUCAUAUUUUGCUCAAUCUCCAUAGUUAAUACAACUACCAAUUUGCCUAGAUUUAUCACUUCAUUAAAAAACUACAUUAGAAUUUUCACUAACCAUCAAAUUAUCCUUCCCUUAGCAGCCGCAUGAGCAGAGGUCAGUUUUCUUCUUCUUUUUUUUGCCUUUGUGUAAUUCGCUUCACUGGCGUUCAGUUUCCUGAGCCUCUGCCUCUGAAUUGUUUCCACCUGCACAAAUAUGUCGAAGUUCUCCAUCAACAAUUGACUGCAUUCUAGACUCAAAAUAUAUAAAAGAUUUAUUAAUCACCCUAUUCACUUUGUGGCGGAAAAUGUCGUGCCGAUCAAUCAGAUUGAUUUUGAGGUCAUUCUGCAAAUAGAAUCUAGAAACUAGAAUAUGAGAGAGAGAGAGAGAGAGAGAGCUUACCGGAGGUGGGGUGGUGAACGGGAGCCGCGAAAGAGAAGAACGACAGCCUUGACUAGGGCUUUUAAUUUGGGGAUGAGAAAUAUUCUGAGAAGAAAGCCGGCAAGCCGGCAGCGGUAUAAUUGUAGUUUUAUCUUACAGACUAGACCAUUUACCGAGGGAAAUAAAUCACUCGGUAAAAUUAAAACUAUAAAUCUAAAACUAAUUUAAUCUGAUUAAAAAUUAAAGAGACAUUUACCGAGGGAAUGAUUCUCUCGGUAAAAUAUUCACUCGGUAUUCCCUCAGUAAACCUGCAAAUACAUUAAUUCUCGGAAAAUUCUCGCCAAAUACUCGUUAUUUACCGAGUGAAAUAACUCCGUCGGCAAUUCCUCGGUAAAAAGAUGUUUUUUUG